CUUAAGAGCCUAGGGCUGACUGGCAUUUGGGUAACGAAACAGAAUUGUAACUUACUAAAAUAAAGUUUUAAGUACGUAUUAAUAAUGAUAAUAUGUAUAAAAGUCUUGACCAAUUACGUGCCAGCAGUCGCGGUAAUACGUAGGAGACGAGCAUUAUUCAUAUUAAAUAGGUUUAAAGGGUACCCAAACGGUCAAAAUACCUGAAAUAUAGGAGUACUUGACUAGAGUUAUAUGUAAGAAGACCGUACUUGAGGUGGAGAGAUUAUAUUUUUUUAUGCCACCAGGACGGAUGACCGGGACGAAUGCUGUUUUUUAGGUAAUAACUGACGUUGAAGGACGAACGCUUAGAUAACUUACAGGAUUCGUUACCCUAGUAUUCUUUGCAGACGGUGGGGAGGGGAUUAACUAGAUACUAAUUUUAAUUAAAAAAAUGAAAAUGAAUACUUUUCCCCACCCAUUUUUUGUGCCAACCCAGGAUCGGCCUCACCCAAACGGUUCAGCACCCCCACAGAGAGAGGGGGGUUAUAAAUCCCGACGGACCCGGAAGGA
rnacentral:rRNA from 1 species